rnacentral:rRNA from 1 species
AUUGAACGCUGGCGGCAUGCCUUACACAUGCAAGUCGAACGGCAGCACGGACUUCGGUCUGGUGGCGAGUGGCGAACGGGUGAGUAAUAUAUCGGAACAUACCUUGUAGUGGGGGAUAACUAUCCGAAAGGAUAGCUAAUACCGCAUACGCUCUAAGGAGGAAAGUGGGGGAUCUUCGGACCUCAUGCUAUAAGAGUGGCCGAUAUCUGAUUAGCUAGUUGGUGAGGUAAAGGCUCACCAAGGCGACGAUCAGUAGUUGGUCUGAGAGGACGACCAGCCACACUGGAACUGAGACACGGUCCAGACUCCUACGGGAGGCAGCAGUGGGGAAUUUUGGACAAUGGGGGCAACCCUGAUCCAGCAAUGCCGCGUGAGUGAAGAAGGCCUUCGGGUUGUAAAGCUCUUUUGUCAGGGAAGAAACGGUUGUGGCUAAUAUCCAUGGCUAAUGACGGUACCUGAAGAAUAAGCACCGGCUAACUACGUGCCAGCAGCCGCCGUAACAC